AAAUACCCCAACGGCACUCCUCCUCCCGGCCGUAGGGGAAGCAAGACUUCAUGGCUCCUCCCGCCUGGUCUUGCGCUGAUGGAAAAAGGCCGGAUCCUCCCCCGGCCUUUUUCUUUU
rnacentral:sRNA from 1 species